UCGAAACUUGUGACAGCUGGAAAAUUGUGACAGAUACAUAUUUGAAAGUAGCAUUGGCUUUGUUUAUUUUUGCUUCAGCAAUUUAUUAUGUCGAAAAGAAGAUAAUCAGCUGCUUAGCCAUAGGGAAUGGAGCGCAGAGUAUUCGCAGGACAAAAUGGUGAUGACUAUUACUGGCUGAUGCAGAAACUUAACCAGAAGCCAAUGUAUUGAAUAUAAUAAUGUACGGAUCAUGAGAUAGUCGCGAGUAUGCUGUAAAGGAUAUGACAAAAGUGGAUAAUAAUUAACUCAAUCACCAAGAUAUCCAAAUAUUUCGAGUUUAUAACGAUGAAAUACAUCAAGACAAAGCAUCAGUAUAAUUUAUGAAUAUAUGUAUGUACGUUAUUUGCGCAACUAAGGGCCGGUUGUUCAAUGUCUGAUUAGCACAAAUCGGAGGUAGAAGCUCCGGUUAAGCACAACUACUGCUUUAUCGAUCACAUGUUACAUGCAUGAUGUCGAAAUCGUCGAUAGUGUAGUGGUAGUGAUAACCAGACAUUGAACAACCGGCCCUAAGUUCUUAUUCGGUAUUUAACCAUGGUUGCUCAUAUUGGAAAAUUUCCAUCAAUCAAUGCGAUUUUUGGCCAUUUUUCUAAGGGGUCCGUAGGGAACCAUAGGGCGCCUAGGUGGUCGGGGGUUGCAUUUUUGUCAAUGGCGGUUCAUGCCCUCUCCAAAAAGGUCGGUUGGAGGUGGCAUGCCCACUCCCCCUUCGCCCACCGUACCUUUAACGAACGGCCAUAAUGGAACGUUUCCCCCAGAAAUAAAAAAGACUGCUGCUUUGGCUUGAUGCAUUUCUGAAAUCUGAAGUAAAUGUGAAUCAUAAAAAUGUAAAUUAAGACUUA